rnacentral:lncRNA from 1 species
GCCACUCUACCUGCAUGCCUGUAAUACGUGUGACUUCAUCCAUGAACCUCCCCCCCCCAGCACCCUCACAGAAGCCCACCUUUCCUUCCCCAACCUACUGUGCAGCUGAACAGCAGCUCAGCAACAUUCUUGUUGGUAGUGCUGUGCUUUUUUUCCAACCAGCAUGACAGUCCCAUGGCUGGUGAGUAACUUCUGGUGCUCCUGUUUCUCUCUCUUACUUCCCUCAUUGACCCUGGUGUGUCUCCUAUCUUUUUACUGGGGUCCUUGACUGGGGAUUUUGGCUCUUAUUUCUUCCUUCAUUUUGAGGUGGCUCCUAUUUUUGCUCUCUUUAUGUUCCCUUUGCUCUUUCUACGCACCGUGCUCUGCUGUCCCUUAUUCUCACAGCAUUGCUCUCUUUCAUGUGCCUAAUGGCGGCUCUUCCCUCUUUAAAAAUGUCUCUUAAUAAUACACUGCCCUUACAUCAAAGGCUAAAAUAAAGAUGAGCUGGCUUGACUGGGAGAAUCUGGAAAAUAUGCAUCCUCAGCUGAUGAAAGCACCUUGUCAUGGCCACUAAUCUUUCAGAAAAGCUGGAGACGUUCAGCAGCAACAGUGAUGGCUUUCUAAAGGAUCAGGCUAUCUGGGUGUCCCCUGUGCUGCCACUUCCAGUGGUCCUUGGUGCUGUGGAUAAAUACAACUCAUCCCUGCCCAGUCACAGUUGCAGAGACCUACUGCAGAAAAUGGAACCAGAAAGAUCUGGAGACACACACUGGGAGAAAUCCUCUUUAAUACAGUGCUUCAAAUUGAAUGCCUGCAGUGCUACAUGGCAAAUUUAAAGCUAAAAUCCACACCUCAUUAACAACGAAUCCUGAUGAGUAAGUUAAGUAGAAGAAACAUCAAUAAUUUAUGGCGAUGAACUCAGCAUUUUCUCUCUCCUUUUUUUCUUUUUGUGUUGCAUCUGUCUUUGGAAGCCUCUAGUAUGUUACAAAUGAAGUGCCAGAGAUGAGCUAGAAAGAAAAAAGCUAGGAGCUUUUCCAGGGAGACAGAGAAUAAAUACAGACCUCCACAAAUGCA